AGGGGGGGAAAGGGGAGGGUUGAGACACCGAUAAAAUGGGCGUGACUUGGCACUGGGGGCGGGGCCAGGACCUGAAGUUCAUGAUGCUCCACCUCUGCGCCCCCGUGUGUUCCUGAUGUUUGCAGUUGCCCUGGCUGAAUUAAAGUUGCAGCACAGCAGAUUUUGCUGCACUUGGCUAGCUGUGGGAGGAUCCACGUCACACCUCACUGCGGCUUUUGGUCGCUGAGUGUUUAACUGCUCCUUCCUGUGUGCUGAGAAACUCGAGUGAAAGGAAGGUCCACACUGCUCUUCGAUGGUAACACAGGUCACAGGCGGGGUUGGGGUGGCAGGGCACAGUGACUGGCAGAGACUGAGGCUGGGUGGCCCAUCUGGUGCCACGGUGAAAUCAUCCAACAUCAACAGGCCAUAAACCAUCUUUAAUCCACACUGUACGCCUUAUCUAGAGAAAAGCACGAGAAAAAAUAAAUCAAAAUUGUUCCCUGCUGUGGUUUGAUAAAGGAA